CCGGGGUUUCUUUACCAGGUACCGUCAUUAUCUUCCCUGGCGAAAGAGCUUUACGACCCUAGGGCCUUCGUCACUCACGCGGCAUGGCUAGAUCAGGCUUGCGCCCAUUGUCUAAGAUUCCCCA
rnacentral:rRNA from 1 species